rnacentral:rRNA from 1 species
UACGGAGGGGGCUAGCGUUGUUCGGAAUUACUGGGCGUAAAGCGCACGUAGGCGGCUUUGUAAGUUAGAGGUGAAAGCCCAGGGCUUAACCCUGGAAUUGCCUUUAAGACUGCAUCGCUAGAAUCGUGGAGAGGUGAGUGGAAUUCCGAGUGUAGAGGUGAAAUUCGUAGAUAUUCGGAAGAAACACCAGUGGCGAAGGCGACUUCCUGGCCUGUUCGUUGA